rfam:Candida parapsilosis strain CDC317 annotated contig 005809
GGAAAGGUGGCCGAGUUGGUCUAAGGCGCUAGACUCAAGAAUUAAGUUUCUUACAACUUAAUAAGUUGUGAUUUCUAGUAUCGUAAGAUGCGCGAGUUCGAAUCUCGUCCUUUUCA